UCCGGUUUGUCACCGGCAGUCCCAUUAGAGUGCCCAACUGAAUGUAGCAACUAAUGGCAAGGGUUGCGCUCGUUGCGGGACUUAACCCAACAUCUCACGACACGAGCUGACGACAGCCAUGCAGCACCUGAACCAGAGGUCCCCGAAGGGAAGACCUUAUUUCUAAGGCUGUCCUCUGUUGUCUAGCCCGGGUGAGGUUCUUCGCGUUGCGUCGAAUUGAACCACAUAAUCCACCGCUUGUGCGGGUCCCCGUCAAUUCCUUUGAGUUUUAGCCUUGCGGCCGUAGUCCCCAGGCGGGGCACUUAAUGCGUUAGCUACGGCACGGAACCCGUCGAUAGAGUCCCACACCUAGUGCCCAACGUUUACAGCGUGGACUAC
rnacentral:misc_RNA from 1 species